rnacentral:lncRNA from 1 species
AGAGCCACAAAUGCCAAAUCCGUGGUGUCCCCUUCCCUGGCUUCUUCCUGGAUAGAACUCAGUCUCCAAAUCCCUGGAGGGAGCUCCUGUGUUUCUGACCCUCAGCGUUUCUGGCUACCUGGGCUAUCUUUGUCUCCUGCUCUACCUUCCAUGAUGCCAGGAAUGGGCCACUCUGGUGACCUCAGAUCUCCCCACCUAGCAAGGUUCGUGUUGACCCUUCUCCCUUUUCCUCCAGCUGCCCCCAAGCCAUGCUGGCCACCUGCUUCAACACCUCUUUGUCUUAACCCGCUGGUGACUACAAGUCCCUUCUCUGUAGGACUCUAGGACAAGUCCCUGAGGACAUACAAAGAAUUGACAGCAGCUUCUGGAUUUGCUUUUCCUUCUGAUUCCCAGCCUGACUGUCCAGAUCAGGCUGGGGCACUGCAUUGCUCCAGAGAUUAGUUGUUUUCCCCUGAGAACUCUUAUUAGAGCUCUUUGAUUGUUUUGAUUUUUUUUUUUUUUCAUUAUGGACACACCUGCAGCAUAUGAAAAUUCCCAGGCUAGGGGUUGAAUUGGAGUUGCAGCUCCUGGCCUACACCACAGCCACAGCAACUCAGAAUCCUAGCAAUGUCUAAUCUACACCACAGCUCAUGGCAACGCCAGAUCCUUAACCUGCUGAUCAAGGCCAGGAAUUGAACCCUCAUCCUCAUGGAGACUGUGUCAGGUUUCUUAACCUUCUGAGCCACAGUGGGAACUCUGAAUUUAAAAUAGAUGUUCAGGAGUUCCCCCAUGGAAGUGGGUUAAGGAUCUGGCAUUGUUACUGCUGUGGCUUGGAUCUGGUUUGACCCCAGACCUGGAAACUUUUUGCAUGCCAUGGGCACAACCCCCACCUCCAAACAGAAUAAAAUAGUAUACAUAUGGCUGAAUCCAAGGAUCCCAGAUGUCUAUAGGAGGCUGCCUUCUAUCAGGCACAAUCCGGUCAGGCUCUUUUCCCAGGUGGCAGCAAGUAUAGCCACCACCAGCAGCAGACUUCUACUCUGCUAGCCUACUAGUCUGCCUAAACUGUCUUUUCCCCAGAGUCCUGGGGAGGAAGCUUUAGACAUGCUGGUCUUUUGUCUGCUUCACAUCAUCAAGAAAGCACCGAAUCAUUUUGGCCAAGGAAGUGAGGUCCCAGCCUUAACGAGGACAGGGUCCACAUGCCCAGUGGAGGUGGACUCAGGUCAAGUUGUUUGCCUAAGUAGAAAAUGUGGGUUCUGCCAGCAGAAGAAAGUGUGCUGAUCAGGCCCAAACUGGCACUCACUGUGGAAGUGAAGUGGUGGCUUUUUCUCCUGCCUACCCAAACAGAUGGCUGUUACAUCACUGCUCCCCUACCCCCAAUUCUUACACUCACUCAUCCUGCAAAAAUGCUCAUAGGCAGGUCUGAGGUUGAAAGGUAAGAAGUGUGCUCUAGUUAAGGCACAGAGACAGAUUAUCUUGGGGAAAUUUGGAACGUAAGGUAAUUUUCAAAGAUUUUAGAGAAACUUCCAAAGCCUUCAUUUUCUCCUCUUUCCUCUGGUCCCCCCACCCCCUACUGCCAGCAGUGACCCCCCCUCACCCCGUGGCAGCAGAUGAUCCUGGAAGCUUUUGUGAUCGCCCAGUCACUGGCGGUUUCUCAUUUUGUUGAGCGACACCUUGGAUUCCCAAACAAAAAAAGCAAUCAAGAAGGUUUCAAGAGUGAUGUGGAGAGAGAGGGAAGGAGAGAGGGCUAGGCAUUUUCAAGCAGAGCAUUUGCACAAGGAUGGAGUGCCAAGCUUCCAGCAAGGUUGGCAGACAAGGGCCUCCAGCAGGCAGAGUGACAAGGAGGUAAUCAGCACCACUUGCCACUUUCCAUUGAGGCAGACAUGGGAGCCAAAAUGGAAGCAAUGCUUGGAUGAUAAAUUGGCUUUUUGCUCUUCCUUUGAACUUCAAGAUCUGUCCCCUUGGGGUCCUCCCCCACCCCAUGGACUGAUUGACAAGCUCAAUGGGCAAGGAGAGGAUUCUGGAUCCAAGAAGCUGAGCUGUGUUAGGGGAUUCUUUGAAGCUAAUUGAAUUUGAACGUCAGCUGCCACUGAGAGAACAGGGCAAGAAAAGACCUACCUUUAACAAGGGAACUUUCAGGAGUGGAGAGGAAAACCAAAGGGUAACAAGAACCUCUUACAUUUCAAUCCAACCUUUUGGAGCCCCAGCAAAGAGGAGCCAAUUAAACACCAGGUUUUAAUUCUUUCUUAUUGCUUUUCUGUAAUCAAGAAAUUCAAAACUAGACAGCUAUAAAAUUUUAAGUGGCAAAAUUUGGAUAUGUAGUUUUACAUGCUCAUAUUUUACUUGUAGCCAAUGCCAUUUUUCGAAGUCACCGUAAAUGGCUCUCUCACAUUCCAGAUUAAGGAUAUGCCAUCCUUCUUUCAACAUUUCUCUCUCUGGUCAUUUCCGUUGCUUCCAAAGUCUUCUUAUAAGUGGUCCCAUCUCACUUCUGUGGCAGUGUAGAGCUCUGUUUAUUCAUCCUUGCCAGCAUCAAAUACUAUUUUACAAAUCUGUUGCCUACUCGAUAGGCAAAUUGGCUUCCCUUUCAUUCACCUACCUUUGAUCCCUAAUCAGGAUAAAUGUUGCUUUGCAUGUUUAUUUGUAUUUCAACUUCUGAAAAUCACAUUUAUGCACUUUGCACACUUUUAUUCAUGGCAAACAGAAUAUUUAUAAAUAUACUUUAUAUAUUUAUAUAUGAAGGUCAUUAUGAUGUCCUGUAUUAGAUUUGUUGCUAGUGUUCUCUGUUUUUAAAACUUUAGUUUUAAAGAUAAAACUCGGUACUUUUUGAUAUUAUUUUUUAAGAAGUCGUUUCUUUUUUGGACAGUAAUGCGUUUGCAUGGUUCAAGAUCUGACAAUACUAAAGGGUGUUCAGGGAAGUGUCUCCUCUCCAGACUUGCCCUCUUGUCACCUCCUGAAAUCACUCAUUUUUACCAAUAUCUAGAUGUUUUUCUACAUACUAUGUGUUUAUAAAUUUCUAUAUUCCUUUUUAUACAAACGAUAAAAUAGUAUUUAAACUCUCCCAAAACCUUUCUUCCCCCUAGUUUUUGGAGUUUAUUUUCCAUCAGUCCAUAAAGAGCUUCCUUGUUCUUUUUUAUGGCAACAUAAUAUUCCAUUGAAUGAUUUAAGGUAGUUUAAAAAUUUUUCAUACAGUUUUUAAAGGUUACACUUCACUUACAGUUACUGCAAAAUAUUGGCUAUAUUCUUCAUGUUGUACAGUACAUCCUUGAGUCUGUCUUACACCCAGUGGCUUAUACCUUCCACUCCCAACCCCCAAGUUUCUCCUCCUCCCAUCCCCACUGGUAACUAGUAGUUUGUUCUUUAUAUCUGUGAGUUUGCUUCUUUUUUGUUAUAUUCAUUAGUUUGUUGUAUUUUUUAGAUUCACUAUGGAAAACAUUAUGGUUUUUGACCUUCAAAAGUUUUGAAAGAUUUUAUAACCAGAUCUAUCAAUCUUUCCAUUUAUAAUUUUAUCCAUUAGUUUGUUUUGUUUUGUUUUGUUUCAUUUUUGGCUGCCCCUAGGCAUAUGGAGUUCCCAGGCCAGGGAUCAGGUCUGAACCACAGUUGCAACCUAAGCUGUAGCUAUGGCAAUGCUGGAUCCCUAACCCACUGUGCCGGGCCAGGAACUGAACCUGUGUCCCAAGAUACCACUGAUCCCAUUGUGCCACAGUGGGAAACUCCUCCAUUAAUUUUUUUAAUGAUUAAAAUUUCAGCCCCAUCCUGCAGUUAUUUAAAUACUCAUCCAUGUUUUCUUCCUAUGUGAUUUUUAAAUUAGACUUUUUGACAUAAAUGUAGAUUCAUGUGCAUUUGUAGGAGUUAAUACAGAGAGAUCCCUUAUACCCUUUACCCAGUUUUUCUCAAUGGUAGCCUCUGGCAACACUUCUGUUAAAAAGAUACCACAACUAGGAUAUUGACUUGGAUAAUUAAGACAACAUUUCUACUGUCUCAAAGAUCCCUCAUGUUCUUCUACUAUAGCCUCAAGUUAUUUCCAUCCCUGUACUUAACCCUUUACAACCACUAAAUUGUUCUCCAUUCCUAUAGUGUUAUCAUUUUAGGAGUGUUACAUCAAUAAAAUCAUACUAUAUUUGACCUUUUGGGAUCAACAUUUUUUCACUCAGCAUAAUUCUCUGGAGAUUCAUCUAGGUUGGCGUGUGUUCUAAUAGUAGAUUUCCUUUUUUUCCUGAAUAUAUAUUUUUUUGUAUGGAUGGACCACAGUUUCGUUAACUGUUCACCUAUCAAAGGACAUCUCAAUUUCCAGUUUUUGGCUAUUAUGAAUGAAGCGCCUACAAACAUUUAUUUACAGAUUUUUGUAUAAACAUAGGUUUUCACUUUACUGAGAAAAAUGCUCAAGAGUACAACUGCUAUGUUGUAUUGUAGUUGCAUGUUUAUUUUUUUAGUAAACUGUCAAAAUUUUUCCAGAGUAGCUGUAUCGUUUUACAUCCCAACCAACAAUGCAUAAUGAUCCAUUUUCCUCCAUCCUCACAAGUAUUUGGUAUUAUCACUGUUUUUUAAUUUACAAAUUUGGAUAGGUAUGUACCGAUAUCUCAUUAUGGUCUUAAUUUGCAUUUCUCUGAAGGCUAAUGAUAUUAAACCUCUUUCAUGUGCUUAUUUGUCUUGUGUGUGUUCUCUUAAUCUUUUGCCCAUUUUCUAGUUGGGUUGGUUUUUUUAUUAUUGAGUUUUAAGAGUUCUUUAUAGGAAUUCCCACUGUGGUGCUGUGGGUUGGGUCACUGUGGAGGCAUGAGUUCGAUCCCAGCCUGCACAGUAGGUUAAAGGAUCUGGCAUUGCUGCAGCUGCAGCAUAGGUCUCAGCUGUGACUGGGAUUCAUUCCCUGGCCUGGGAACUUCCAUGUGU